rnacentral:lncRNA from 1 species
AAAACAGGAGCGGUUCGCCCUAUAAGGAAAUUCCCCGCCUCCCAGCCCAUCAUGCCUUGCUGCCGACUUCCGGUUCUCCAGGGUAUAAAGCGGCGGCUCCGGGCCAAAUUUCAGGAGAAGCUUUGGUGCGAGCCUCUUGACUCUUCUGACCUGGAUCGUUUUCCCUGGAAUAAAUGGUGUCAGACUCGUUGCUAAAUAGUCUGACAACCAGAGGGGACGAGCCCAUGGCUGCCGAAGGUUCCAGGUCAGCCCCCAGAGCCCGGUGAAGCCACUCUACCUCCCGCUCGCUCUUCGCGUCUCAGGUAAUCUUCGAAGCAAGGGAAGAGAAGAGUAUGCUAUCCUGUCAUGACAUUUCUUUUCAAAAUACGUGGCUUAAAGAGGAACGGAAAGAGAAGUCAUUAUUUCCAAACUUCAAGGACAGAGAUCCUCUAGGAUUCUACCCAGUAUUGAGCUUGCAUUCCUGUUGUUUCAUGAGGACAAUGCAGAGGAACUCAUGUGUAUGCUGUGUAUGCAGUGGUUUGGAGUCACAAGUGAGGAAUACUGAGCCUGCAGAAGCCACUGUAUUAAUAUUUUAGAAGACACUGCUUUCCGGUCUUUGGUAUCAUUGAGCAUGUAACAUGGGUAAGAGAUGUGUAGGCAUCAUGAAUUAAGGAGAAGAAAGCCAGAAGAAUUGGAAAAUACUGAACUGAGCCUUGAGAAUAUAGAGACACCACACAACUAUGACAUUUCACCAACUCUGGGCUACUUGUGAUGUGAAACAGUAAAUUCUUUACUUGUUCAGGCCAUUACCUGGAUCUUUACUACCUACUACUGAAGCUAUCUUAUGUAAAUUAUGUCUGUGGUUUAUAAAAGGAUGUAAAAAAAAAAAUUAAAAAAAUAAAGGAUGUAGGUCAGGAGGAAUAUAGGCCCUU